UACGUAGGGGGCAAGCGUUGUCCGGAAUCAUUGGGCGUAAAGCGCGCGUAGGCGGCUCGAUCAGUCUGCUGUGAAAGUCAAAGGCUCAACCUUUGAAAGCCGGUGGAUACUGUCGAGCUAGAGUCCGGAAGAGGCGAGUGGAAUUCCUGGUGUAGCGGUGGAAUGCGCAGAUAUCAGGAGGAACACCAACGGCGAAGGCAGCUCGCUGGGACGGUACUGACGCUAAGGCGCGAAAGCGUGGGGAGCGAACAGG
rnacentral:rRNA from 1 species